UAUAUUUGCGGCUCGUAAAAAAAACUACAUAAAAAUCAUUAAAAUUAAUAUUGGCAUG
ncrna:unclassified sequences S15-Flavobacteria ribosomal protein leader